rnacentral:misc_RNA from 1 species
GAUGAAGAACGUAGCAAAAUGCGAUACUUGGUGUGAAUUGCAGAAUCCCGUGAACCAUCGAGUUUUUGAACGCAAGUUGCGCCCGAAGCCUUUUGGCCGAGGGCACGUCUGCCUGGGCGUCACGCAUCGCGUCGCCCCCCACAAUUCUCCGUAAAGGGAACAUGUGUUUUGGGGGCGGAUAUUGGUCUCCCGUGCUCAUGGCGUGGUUGGCCGAAAUAGGAGUCCUUUCGAUGGACGCACGAACUAGUGGUGGUCGUAAAAACCCUCGUCUUUUGUUUCGUGCUGUUGCUCGCAAGGUAAACUCUUUAAAAACCCCAAUGUGUCGUCUCUUGACGACGAUUCGACCGCGACCCCAGGUCAGGCGGGACUACCCGCUGAGUUUAAGCAUAUCAAUAAGCGGAGGA